CAGUAGCCACGGUAAUACAGAGGGUGCAAGCGUUAAUCGGAAUUACUGGGCGUAAAGCGCACGCAGGCGGUCUGUCAAGUCGGAUGUGAAAUCCCCGGGCUCAACCUGGGAACUGCAUUCGAAACUGGCAGGCUAGAGUCUUGUAGAGGGGGGUAGAAUUCCAGGUGUAGCGGUGAAAUGCGUAGAGAUCUGGAGGAAUACCGGUGGCGAAGGCGGCCCCCUGGACAAAGACUGACGCUCAGGUGCGAAAGCGUGGGGAGCAAACAGGAUUAGAUACCCCUGUAGUCCCUGUCUCUUAUAC
rnacentral:rRNA from 1 species